AGCGAACGCAGGCGGAUGGUUAAGUCCAAAGUGAAAGGUAGGAGCUCAACUCCUACACUGCUUGGGAUACUGGCCGUCUUGAGUGGCGGAGAGGGAGAUGGAACGACACGUGUAGCGGUGAAAUGCGUUGAUAUGUGUCGGAACACCAAUGGCGAAAGCAAUCUCCUGGACGCAGACUGACGCUGAGGUUCGAAAGCCAAGGUAGCAAACAGGAUUAGAUACCCUGGUAGUCUUGGCCAUAAACGAUGUUCACUAGGUGUUGGGGCUUUGCCUCGGUGCCGCAGCUAACGCAUUAAGUGAACCGCCUGGGAACUACGAUCGCAAGAUUAAAACUCAAAGGAAUUGGCGGGGGCCCGCACAAGCGGUGGAGCAUAUGGCUUAAUUCGAUGCAACGCGAAGAACCUUACCAGGGCUUGACAUGUAUCUGCAAGCUACCGAAAAGUAGUCGCCUUCGAGGGUGAUACACAGCUGGUGCAUGGCUGUCGUCAGCUCGUGCUGUGAAAUGUUGGGUUAAGUCCCGCAACGAGCGCAACCCUCAUGUUUUGUUGCCAGCGGGUAAUGCCGGGAACUCGAAACAAACUGCCUCUGUAAAGAGGAGGAAGGUGGGGAUGACGUCAAGUCAUCAUGCCCCUUACGCCCUGGGCUGCACAUAUGCUACAAUGGCCGGUACAAAGAGCUGCUAACCCGCGAGGGCGUGCAAAUCUCAAAAAGCCGGUCUCAGUUCGGAUUGGAGUCUGCAACUCGACUCCAUGAAGUUGGAAUCGCUAGUA
rnacentral:rRNA from 1 species